UAUUUGGUCUUGUGUUUCAGUAUCCGUCUUCCUUAAUGUACUGUAUCGAUUUAAAGGUGUUCGAACCAAACCAAUGUCUUUGCUGACUUAACCAAGUUGCCUACAAUGAGAAACAAAUUCUUUUGUAAGUGGAUCAUAAUGUAUAUUGCCGGUCAUUUUGUACAACAUAUCCAUAUUGUUACCUUUGAUUUUUAGAUUAUGCUUGAUGAUGUGCUUCUUUGUCUUAUGUUUCAUUUUAAUGGUGGGUUGUUUUUUUUUUUGCAGUGGAGUUGGGGCCAUAAUCUACAUCAGGCUUUCCCCUCCCCUUACAGAACAUACUGGAAUCUACAUGGAUUACUCAAGACCUACGUUCAUUGUUCUGGGAUUUGAUCACAGGCUGGUUUCCUCUGUUCGGUCCCAGACAAACCAUCCAAGAACUGAUCUGCUGGAGCUGGGACUUGUGAGAAUUGGGUCAUAAAAUGGUCAAAGUGCAAAGACUUCAAAGCAACAACGACAGGUUGGUUUGUUUCUUUUUUAGUAAAAAUUCUUUUUAAAAAGAAGAACCUCAAUGAAGUACUAGUGACUGAAAGAGUGAAAAAUGUAAAACUUUAAAAAAAAAGAUACUUCUUCAGGCAAUUCUCAUGCCAGCCUUUAACUACGGCUUUCAUUUACGAUGCUCAUAUAAAUGGAAUAGACUUCACUGAGUCUAUUCAUGUGAUUUGGGAUCAGACUGCUAUUAUUCUAACUUGUUAGAGCUAACACCAUUCCUUAUCCCUCUACAAGUUCUUGAGACUUUGUAGG